UAAGGUCUGCCCUGUUCGUGGUGCGGGGGUUGUCAAUGGGGCCUACACCGUGGGUGUAAGGGAAGUCGACUUCGGGAACUCCGGAAGGAUUCCCGAGGGACUUCCCACCUUAAAGCUCUGAGGCCCACGGCACUUCCUGCACUGCGGCAGGGCGGACACUCU
rfam:Aquifex aeolicus VF5, complete genome.